AUGUACCCUAGAGUUCCUCCAUAACACUUCAUCAAUAGUGAAGGCUAAUUCCUUCCUUAUUGCAAGUAAUUAUAACUCAUUACUUGUUGAAGUGUUUGGGGGAACUCCUGGACUCAU
rnacentral:pre_miRNA from 1 species